rnacentral:rRNA from 1 species
UACGAGGGGGGCAAGCGUUGUUCGGAAUUACUGGGCGUAAAGCGUAUGCAGGCGGACUUUUAAGUCGGGGGUGAAAUCCCGAGGCUCAACCUCGGAACUGCCUUCGAUACUGGAAGUCUUGAGUCCGGGAGAGGUGAGUGGAACUCCGAGUGUAGAGGUGAAAUUCGUAGAUAUUCGGAAGAACACCAGUGGCGAAGGCGGCUCACUGGCCCGGUACUGACGCUGAGAUACGAAAGCGUGGGGAGCAAACAGG